rnacentral:tRNA from 1 species
GGAUAAAUAGCUCAACGGUAGAGCACCGGUUUGUUAAGCCGCUGGUUGAAAGUUCGAAUCUUUCUUUAUCCU